GGUGCUGCAUUAUGCUAAUUUGCAUGAUUAGCAUUAAAGGGGGAGGGCUUAAUAGAUCAACAGGAUGUGGAAUGAUCUUGCGGUGUUGCAUUAUGCUAAUUUACAUGAUUAGCAUUAAAGGGGGAGGGAUUAAUAGAUCAACAGGGUGUGGAAUGAUUUUGCAGUGUUGCAUUAUGCUAAUUUACAUGAUUAGCAUUAAAGGGGGAGGGAUUAAGAGAUAAACAGGAUGUGGAAUGAUCUUGGGGUGCUGCAUUAUGCUAAUUUACAUGAUUAGCAUUAAAGAGGGAGGGAUUAAGAGAUAAACAGGGUGUGGAAGGGAUGCUAAUUUACAUGAUUAGCAUUAAAGGGGGAGGGAUUAAGAGAUAAACAGGGUGUGAAAGGGUCUUGGGGUGCUGCAUUAUGCUAAUUUGCAUGAUUAGCAUUAAAGGGGGAGGGAUUAAGAGAUAAACAGGGUGUGGAAGGAUCUUGGGGUGUUGCAUUAUACUGAUUUACUUCAUUUUUAUUUGUAGAGGGAUUAAGUGCUAAAUUGGAAAAAUAUUGGAGUUUGAGGGGAAGGGAUUAGGUGAUUUAAAGGGAUAGGGAAAUAAUUUGGGGUGUUACUUUGUGCUAAUUUUCUUAAUUAGCAUUCAAGAGGGAGAGAUUAAGUAUUAAAAGAAAUGGUGAAGAAGUGUUAUGCUACUCUAAUGUACGUCAUUGUAAUUAAAGUGGGAGGGAUUAAGUGCUAAAAAGGGCAUGGAAAGAUCUUAGGGUGCUACAUUAUGCUAAUUUACUUGUCAUUCAGGGGGGGAUUAAGUGAUAAAACAGAUCUGGAGGAAACUGGGGGUUGUUAUAUCAGUCUGACUUACAUGAUUAGCGUUAACGAGUAGGGAUUAAGAGAUGAAAGGGGUGCAGAAAGAAUUUGGGGUCUGACAUUAUGAUAAUUUGCCAUUCAAGGGGAUUAAGUGUUAAUUGGAUGGACGGG